rnacentral:rRNA from 1 species
UAGGGAAUCUUCGGCAAUGGACGAAAGUCUGACCGAGCAACGCCGCGUGAGUGAAGAAGGUUUUCGGAUCGUAAAACUCUGUUGUUAGAGAAGAACAAGGACGUUAGUAACUGAACGUCCCCUGACGGUAUCUAACCAGAAAGCCACGGCUAACUACGUGCCAGCAGCCGCGGUAAUACGUAGGUGGCAAGCGUUGUCCGGAUUUAUUGGGCGUAAAGCGAGCGCAGGCGGUUUCUUAAGUCUGAUGUGAAAGCCCCCGGCUCAACCGGGGAGGGUCAUUGGAAACUGAGAGACUUGAGUGCAGAAGAGGAGAGUGGAAUUCCAUGUGUAGCGAUGAAAUGCGUAGAUAUAUGGAGGAAAACCAGUGGCGAAGGCGGAUCUAUGGUCUGUAACUGACGCUGAGGCUCGAAAGCGUGGGGAGCAAACAGG